rnacentral:rRNA from 1 species
UAGUACCGUCAGCUCACAACGCAUCAUGAGGUUUCUUCCUAUAUAAAAGCAGUUUACAACCCAGAGGGCCGUCUUCCUGCACGCGGCAUGGCUGGUUCAGACUUGCGUCCAUUGACCAAUAUUCCCUAC